rnacentral:rRNA from 1 species
UGCCAGCAGCCGCGGUAAUACGAAGGGUGCUAGCGUUGUUCGGGAUUACUGGGCGUAAAGAGCAUGUAGGCGGAUGAAUUAGUCAGAGGUGAAAGCCCCGAGCUCAACUUGGGAACUGCCUUUGAUACUGUUUAUCUAGAGUCCGAGAGAGGUUAGUGGAAUUCCCAGUGUAGAGGUGAAAUUCGUAGAUAUUGGGAAGAACACCAGUGGCGAAGGCGGCCUCCUGGCUCGAUACUGACGCUGAGGUGCGACAGCGUGGGGAGUAAACAGGAUUAGAUA